UGUUCAACUAGGACGACAAAAAGAAGGAAAUUGCGGAAAUUGUACUUUACGGCUGUAGAUGGCUAACGGAUGAUAUAAUUGCCAACCUGACUGCCCCAUGAUGACUCGGAGCUUCCAAUCAGCCUUUUAGGAUACUAUCUUCAGAUCGAACUCUCGGAGUUGCUGCGUCUCACCAAGCACCGCACGCUUUCGUCGGAAAACUUCCUAAUUCAAUGGCCAGGGUCUGAGAUAAAAUGGCUAUUUAGGAAGAAUAUCACUAACUUUUAGGCCUAGUUCUUAUGGUUUGUGUGAUAAUUUAUGAUAAAAACUGUGUUGUGAUAAUGACAAAAACAUUUUUAAGAAUCCAAGAGUGCACACCUCAUACGUUCAUUUAAUCAAGGAAUUUAAAAAAGACAAUAGAUGGAAUUUUUAUUGAUAUCGGACGUAUAGAUCAAGUAAAGGCGGUAUAUAUAAUUUUGUUUGCACAAUAUUAUGUCAUGUAUACUAAAGUAGAUGAAUAAAGUAUGCGCAAAUAUUGUUUCAUAGACUUGGGGUGUGAUAAUAGUUUCAAGUUGUUAAAAUGACGCACGGCAAACAAUUAAGAAUAGAAUACAUCCUGAGUUAUCAAUUAGCUAAGGAAUGAUAUUCGUGUAUUCGUGACUAGUUUUACUUCUAUCUGAUAAUAUUGUGUUGUUAUAUAAUUAAAUGAAUAAAUAAAACAUCAGUUGUAAGAAACGUUAUAUUUAUUGUAUAAAACUUACAUCUAUUGUUUCAACACAUUAUUCGUUUUGUUUAUAGUGUUUACCCGUUUUAAGCUACGAACUUGAGGCAUACCACCUACCCUCUUAUGCUACCUACCCCUAUGUCUAUAUCUUAAACUAAGACAACUAUGUUCUAUUUUUCAUCAUAUCUGCACUGAAUGUUAAAACUUUCUGCCCUAUUUUGUGGAAAAGAAAUGCGACUCUUACCUUAUGAAAUAUCAUAUACAAAUAAACAGCUUGACAUUUGCACUAACCUUCCUAAAAAAACAAUGGCACAAAAUUAAAACUUUUGGUUACAAAUAUGACGGAAAAUAUGACACGCACCAGCAAGAAAAAGAGGACAUCCCAAUCCGUAUGUUUGCCACCCUCGUCUUUGUCUCAGAAGGCUAUUUAACACGCGGUUUGAAAUGUCCUACUUUCCUCCCUGGGAGCGUAAAUAUCUAUAUCAGCGAACAUCAAUCUCAAAGGAUCUGUAAUAGUAUACGCUAGCUAUUCGAACAUCAACGAACACUGAAGUUACGGCACCUGAAACAAAAGCAACCAUUAGAGCUGUAUACGACAUAAUGCCAUAACAAUUUAGAAGUCAUCAAUGAGUGUGCUCGAUUUGAACACAUGAUUUCAAUUAGGUAACAUAUUACUUACCUAUUGACUAGUGCUUAUAACUGAACAUAGCCUAAACGAGGUAGAAAAAUAAUACUGUCUACUUACGAUUUGGUGCAAAGAAUGCACUUCAUCUCAAUUCCGUAGUACUGAUUAGCGCUAGGAUAUUCAUUUGAAUCCUGCCUUCCACAUCCACGGUGUAAACCUGUAGUAGUUUAAUUUAGCAGUAACAUUCUCCAGCCAAAUGGUGGUCCCUUCCAAGUACUUAGUAUGUUUCCAUUGUUUGAGAGCCUUAUCUUCAAUGGUACUCUUCAGAGUAUCCUCGGGAAGAGACUUCCACUCCUUUGGAACGUAGGACAAGUACCGGUUCGUCAUUUUUCGUCUUCAUACACGGACACACUUAACCGAGCUUGUUAUCAAUGAAUGUCGGAUACGAAAUGAUAUUCAGUAUAGGCAGCUUAGCUAUUUAUAGGGAUAAUUUGGAAGUUGGCAGCAUGCCUAACAUUAUAAAUUCAUCGCGUGAAGAUAUGUUUGCAGAUCGUAAAAUGGAAACAUUGUAAUGAUAGAUACAUAGUCAAUUUGAAAUAUUACUCACGUUCUGCAAAUUUACCAAACUAUUUGCAUGAAUAGGCAGACCUCCGGGAAGAAGGAAAUAUAUUGUUAUGCAUAUAAAUCAAGACAAAAUCUAUCUAAUGGGUUGAUAAUAAAUAAAUCAGCAAGCCAUUAAAAGUAUGUUACUGACUUUGAUAUAUCACAUAUUCCCGCAAUGUAAAUAUAAAUUAAAAGCUCUAUUAUUGUGUUAUUAAAUAGAAAAAAAAUUCAAAUCCACGUUCCGAUGUUGAUAAAAUAAGCGUGGGUGGAAUUACUAACAGUAAAUUAUCUUUUGACGAAAAGACAUCUGUAAAAUCAGAUGUCUCCGAACUUUCUAAAAUGCUCUUAGACGCAUUCGUUUGUAAAAGCUCAGAUCGGUUGGUAGUUUUUUGAUUUAUUUAUCAGUGCGAAGAAAACAUUUGUAUCUUAUGGAGAAAUCACUGAUUUGCGUAGAAUUAACAGAGGGUGUUUAUGUCCCGUCGAGGUGGCCUCUGAGUGAUAUAAAGACGCUAGUGAUCGCUUUGGCAAGAAAAAUCAUUAAAGAAACCAAAAAUGUCUUCUCUAUUUUGCAAGUAAACGGCAUACCUGCUAAAUUGAUUACACGGAAGAACAAAAGUGAUGACAUGCAUUUGUUUGAGGAAAUCUCGGGAACGUAAGUCCUGAUAAGACGCUAAUAGUAAAAAAUACUGACGUAUUGCAAGCAAAUAUAAUUUUUUCAUUCUCUUUUUUAAUUCAGAGAGACAAUAGAUGCGUAUACUUACGAAAUAUUGUUACCGAAGGACGAAGCAAACAUCCGACGGAAUAGACUCAGCGGAAAUAGCCUUGGUGACGAAUCCUGGCCAGAUUACGUUGUCAAUGUAUCGACGAAGAGUAACAAGAUAUAUUACUUGAUGCCUACGCAUUUGGAGUAAGCAGAGUUCCGGA